rnacentral:rRNA from 1 species
GAUGAACGCUGGCGGCGUGCCUAAUACAUGCAAGUCGAGCGAACAGAUGAGGAGCUUGCUCCUCUGACGUUAGCGGCGGACGGGUGAGUCACACGUGGAUACCCUACCUAUAAGACUGGGAUCAUCUCGGGAAACCGGCGCUAAUCCCGGAGAAUCUACUGCACCGCAUGGUUCGAUGGUGAAAGACGGUGUUGCUGUCACUUAUCGAUGGAUCCGCGCCGCAUUAGCUAGUUGGUAAGGUAACGGGUUUCCAAGGCAACGAGUCGUAGCCGACCUGAUAGGGUGAUCGGCCACACUGGAGCGGAGACACGGUCCAGACUCCUACGGGAGGCAGCAGUAGGGAAUGUGCCGCAAUGGGCGAAAGCCUUACGGAGCAACGCCGCGUGAGUUAUGAAGGUCUUCGGAUCGUAAAACUCUGUUAUUAGGGAAGAACAAAUGUGUAAGUAACUAUGCACGUCUUGACGGUACCUAAUCAGAAAGCCACGGCUAACUACGUG